rnacentral:misc_RNA from 1 species
CUGCCCUCAAGCCCGGCUUGUGUGUUAGGCCGACGUCCCCCACUUCUGGUGGGACGGGCCCGAAAGGCAGCGGCGGCACCGCGCCUAGUCCUCGAGCGUAUGGGGCUUUGUCACCCGCUCUGUAGGCCUGGCCGGCGCCUGCCGACCCCCCAACCGUUUUCUCCAGG